rnacentral:misc_RNA from 1 species
AGAGCAAAAGGAUAGAUGAAGCAAAGGGUCCUUUUAACGAAAUACCUAAAAAAUGUUUAGUUCCUAGCUUUGUUGCAUAUUAUAAAGGGUCUGUGUCAGGCAGUGAGGUUGUGAACUGCACAAGAGGUUUACAAGAACAUGUGUUCUCAGAAUCAGCAGCCAGAUAUAAUAACUUUCUCAAUUUUGCUCAAUGACUAGUGCAAACAGGGGGGCCUUGAUGAGAC